UUUUUCUUCGACAUUUACCUGUCGAUAUAGUCCCUCCGACAUCCACCUGCCGGAAUCUUAGCUCCCUAUUCCGGAGCCAAUUCAGUCUCUGAGCACUCUCAGAUGACUCAAAGCUUCUUCAAACUUCAUCACCGGUACCGAUUUUGUGAGAAUAUCAGCCGGAUUCACCAAAGUCCCGAUUUUAGUCACAGUCAAUGAACCAUCUGCCACCACGUCUCGAAUGAAGUUGAAACGCACAGCCAUAUGCUUUGUCCUCGAAUGGAAGACGUUAUUCUUAGCCAAACAAAUCGCACUCUGUGAAUCACAGAAGAUUUCAACACUUUUUUGAGGAAAUCCCAAUUCACUUGUAAUUCCCUUUAACCACAACGCUUCUUUUGCUGCUUCUACUAGGGCCAUAUAUUCAGCUUCCGUUGUUGAUACAGCUACUAUAUGUUGCAACCCUGAGCGCCAGCUGAUUGUGUUUUCUCCUGCUUGAAACACAAAACCUGUGAUAGAUCGACUCCUAUCAAGGUCAGCUCCAUAAUCACUAUCACAAUACCCUCUCACUUUAAAUUUCUCAGAUUUCUUGAAUGUCAGACUCAGAUCCUUAGAAUCCCUGAUGUAUCUGAGAAUCCAUUUAACAGCUUCCCAAUGAUUUUCAUUAGGAGAUCCCAUAAAGCGACUGACCAUACCAACUGCAUAAGCAAGAUCAGGGCGAGAUCCCACCAUUGCGUACAUUAGACUCCCAACAGCACUGGAGUAAGGUACUCGUUUCAUCUUGGUCUCUGUCUUAGCUUUAUCUUCUUCUUUUGUACUGGAUAGCUUGAAAUGACAGCCUAUAGGUGUUUGAACUGGCAUGGAUUUAUCCAUUCUAAAGUUCCUCAGAACCUUUUCCAGAUAAACUUGCUGUGACAACUUCAACACACCUUGACUUCUGUCCCUUGAAAUGUCCAUACCUAGAAUUCUACUCGCUGCUCCUAGGUCUUUCAUUUCGAAUUCACUACUUAGGAUAGCUUUUAGUUUAACAAUUUCUAGCAUAUCCUUUGCAGCAACCAGCAUAUCAUCUACAUAUAGUAGUAGAUACACAAAACAGUCCUCCUUGUAACACUUGAAGUACACACAUGGAUCAUACUCACUCCUUGAAUACCCUUGUGACUUCAUAAACUGAUCAAACCUCAAAUUCCAUUGUCUUGGAGACUGUUUUAGCCCAUACAGAGAUCUCUGUAAUAAGCACACCUCAUCAUCACCUUUUGAGUAACCUUCAGGCUGUUCCAUUAGUAUCCUUUCAUCCAACUUUCCAUGUAAAAACGCAGUUUUCACAUCCAACUGUUCCAGCUCCAUAUCUUGAUUAACCACCAUAGACAACACCAACCUUAUAGUGACAUGUUUAACAACUGGUGAAAAAACUUCAUGGUAGUCAAUCCCUUCUAUUUGAGAGAAUCCUUUGGCCACUAACCUUGCUUUAAACCUAGGUUUCUCAACCCCUGGAAUCCCUGGCUUGAACUUGAAUAUCCACUUACAACCAAUUAUUCUUUGUUUCUCAGGUCUUGGAAUCAAAUUCCAAGUGUGAUUCUUAUGAUGAGAUUCCAUCUCCUCUUCCAUUGCUGCUAUCCACUGCUCUUUAUUACUUCCGCUAAUAGCCUCUUGAUAAGUGUUAGGCUCAUCAUCAUCCAUUAGUUGCGCUGCAUUAAGAGCAUAAGCAGUAAUAUCAGCCUCAAUAAAUCUACUUGGCUUUUUGAUAUCUCUUCUGGCUCUAUCUCUCGC
rnacentral:lncRNA from 1 species